AUUGAACGCUGGCGGCAGGCCUAACACAUGCAAGUCGAACGGUAACAGGAAGAAGCUUGCUUCUUUGCUGACGAGUGGCGGACGGGUGAGUAAUGUCUGGGAAACUGCCUGAUGGAGGGGGAUAACUACUGGAAACGGUAGCUAAUACCGCAUAACGUCGCAAGACCAAAGAGGGGGACCUUCGGGCCUCUUGCCAUCGGCUGUGCCCAGAUGGGAUUAGCUAGUAGGUGGGGUAACGGCUCACCUAGGCGACGAUCCCUAGCUGGUCUGAGAGGAUGACCAGCCACACUGGAACUGAGACACGGUCCAGACUCCUACGGGAGGCAGCAGUGGGGAAUAUUGCACAAUGGGCGCAAGCCUGAUGCAGCCAUGCCGCGUGUAUGAAGAAGGCCUUCGGGUUGUAAAGUACUUUCAGCGGGAAGGAAGGGAGUAAAGUUAAUACCUUGGCUCAUUGACGUUACCCGCAGAAGAAGCACCGGCUAACUCCGUG
rnacentral:rRNA from 1 species